rnacentral:lncRNA from 1 species
AAUUUUUUCUUCAACUGUCAUCUACAUCUACAACACUUCUCACACCAACACGCUCCGUUAGUUCGCCGCCCUUCCCUAGACCCACACACUGCAGACUCGCGGCAGAGGCAGAGGCAGCGCCCGCACAAAAAAAAAAAACAUAUAUAAGCUGCGGGACGGGGUGGGUUAAAAGUCGGAAGAGUCAUCGCCAGGGGGAGGGCAGAGGCAGAGGCCGAGUGAAGCAGAAGCAGAAUGUGAAUGACAGAAUGUAAAAAGAACAACAAAAUCUGCGGGGCAGGGUGGGUUUAGCCACGGGAAAUUAAUUUCUUCAUUGUGGCUAUAAUAAUGAUCCAAUCGGAUCGGAAUUGUAGAUUUGGGAGGUUUUCGCCCUUUUGAGGAAGGGGAAGCGGAAGGGGGCGUGGCUCAUUCUUGAAAUACACUGGCUUCAGUGUGAGCAUACAGAAGUCCGGGUUCAAAAAUUGGGGGUCUAGCUCUUAUUGUCUCUGAGAACUAGCCGACAAACAAGACGGACAGACGGACGGACGGACAGACGGACAGACAGACAUGGCUCUAUCGUUCGUAUAUUGAUGCUGAUCAAGAAUAUAUAUACUUUAUGGGGUCGGAAACGUUUCCUUCUGUGCGUUACAUACAACCGUUAUUCAAACAAAUACAAUAUACCCUAUUUACUCUUUGAGUAGCGUGUAUAAAUAGAAAGAGUCAGGACGAAAGAGAAAGAACGAUAUAAAAUUGAAAUCAAUUGAACAUUAUUUUAUUUAUAGUCAAUUUUAAGAGCGGUAUCACAAACUGGAAGGAUACCACCGAAAGACUGCUUGUAGGCAGGCUAAUCAAACGUUAACUAGUUGUUGGAAGAGUUACCCCAGAGACAAAUGAACAUGUUGAAAUUUUAAUAAGCCAGCCUAAACGCAACCAACGAAAUUUGCUAGCCAAUUUGAAGCGGCAGCAGGGGCAACAGAGGAAGAAACCAGGCAACAGCAGCAACGAUUGCACCAGAAUCAUCAGAGCAUUUGACGAAGACGAAACUUGAAUCUGGAAUAUAUAGAGGUUGUUUGGAUGGGCCCAAUUGGUAGCAGGUUGGGGGGUCAGGAGUGGCUUAUAGAGUUCACACACUCGGAAAAACAAUGGCAUUCAAUUGGAUAUUAUAGAGAUUGAGAUGCAUGCAAUGUCUGGACUACAAAAUAGAUUACAAAAUGCUCAGAUCUAUUCCACGAUCAAGACAAAUUAGGGUCAAACUUUGCUGUACAUUAAACAGAAUAUCAAAUUAGUUUUAGUUGGAUGGGAUUCAAAAAUCUACAAAUCAAAUUUCUUUCAAAAUAUAUUUCGUUAUUUUUCUCACUGUGCAGAAACUCCCUGUACGUUGUCAGGCUGAGUCGAAGGCUCAGCUGUUGGGCGCUUUUAAUAAGGUUGCAGCCACAAAUUUUCGCGACGACGUUGACGAUGGCAUUUCAUGUUGUGCCAACGUCCAAAUUAGAAAAGUCGCAAAGAAAAGCAAAGCAAACAUCAGGCUGCCUGCCUGCCAGCCUGCAAAUGGGGUGGCAGAGACAUGGGAGGGAACAGAGGCAAGGGCUGAGACUCAGAUUUGGGGCAGUGCCAGGCAUCGGAGGAGGGUAGCAUAACCGACUGCGCCGGAAAUCAAGUGUCACGUGAUACAUGCAACAACCACGUGCGGCUAUAAAUUGCAAGUGCCGAGGCUGCAGCUGCAAUAGCAGCAGCAGCAGCAACAACAGAAACCAGAGGAAAUUCAAGAGAAACCAGCCUUCCAGCCUGAAGGACUCCUCUCCUAUCCAUCUAUGUGUGUGUGUGUUAUGUUACUAAUUAUCUGACGGAUUAGCUUAAUUGGUAACAAGUGCACUUUCAGCCAACACACUUCACAAGCGAGACUCUGCGGCCGAAGCUACUCGAGAGUGGCAUUAGCCUCCUUUUUUUUUGAUGAGAGAAGGGUCUCUCCAAAAAUGUUGGCCUCCAAGUGUACGAGUUUGUGUAGUACUUCUGCAUGUGUAUGGUAUAUAGUGUGUAUGAUGGGUAUUGGGUAUGCAGGAGCUUAGCCAGCGAGGAGGACGUUGUGGCAGCAUAGAAGUCAACAGGCCAGCUAUAAUUUUCACAGCCAAAACUGGGCUUACAAACUUUUGCGGUACACCGAGAGAGGACCCUAAAGGGUGUACUGGAGUGGGUGUGUAGGGGUGAUGGGAAAGGCACACAAAAGCGGACAGGUCAACAAGUCGGCGAGUUGGUCAGCUCCAGCUAGAGCUUCUACUGCUAGCUCCCAUUUCCCAUCUUCCAUUGCAAUCUCCAAUCUUCAGCUUAAAGCAUAGAUACGAGUAGAGGAAUGGGCCUGUUCCGGACUGGGUAACGUCAUGGUUGUGGUUCAAUUGCAGAGCUUGCACCGACGGACCUGUAGAACUGGCAAGCGUAUUAGCUAGGUAGUCACAGUUUUCGAUUCACAUUUUGGGGAUUGAAAAGUUUACUAAUUUGCGAAAAUGUAGUACUUUUUGUUGGCAAAUAAAAACGAGUAGGAACGUUUGAGAGACGCUUCGUACGAGUCACAACUUUUAAACUCAGUGUGUAUGUAUGUACAUUCACGUGUAAGUAACCUUAAUGUGCACAUAUAUACAUACAUAAUUAACCUUUUCAUUUGUUCGAAUUUAUCAUUUUCCUUUUUUCCAACAUCUGGGAUCUGCAUCUAUGUAUGUACAUCACAUCUCACACCAACACGGCCUUUUAGCUCGUCAACUUCCCCCAAAACCGCACACUGCAUGAGGCAGAGUGUGCCAGCGAAAAAGAAAGCCAACAACAAGCAAGCGUAAGAAAAGCUGCUGGAAGGGGUGAAUAAGUUUCCUCAUUCUGGCUAUAAUAAUGAUCUGAUCCCACCUUAAUUCGAGGAUCUGAAAGACAUGACUAUUCCCUGCUCCUGAAUGCCUGAAUGAAAAAUGUGAGGAAUAUUCUCUCUCAUAAAGCAUUCUCUGAAUUAUGGUAAUUAUGAUAUGAUUAAUUAUAAUGACUAGAGGAAAAUCCACAGAAUUCAGCUGCUCUAUAAUCUUGCUACCCGACACAAUGUUUCCUUAAGGAACCAAACUAACUGUUUCUGAAAGAUUUGAGGCUUAGUAAUUGUCUGAUGCUAUUGUUAUACUCGGUAUAACAAAUAGGGUACAUUGUAUUUGUGCACAAAAAUGAAUGCAUGUAGCACACAGAAGGAAACGUUUCCGACCCCAUAAAAUAUAUAUGUACUUGAUCAGCAUAAAUAGCCCAGUCAUGUAUGUUUGUCUGUCCGUCUGUCCGAUCCGUCUGUCUGUCAUUCUCUCAAUCCACACUCUGCAUCGUGCAGGGGAGCGGGGCGAGCUUGUUGGCGUGAGUAGGGAUGUAGAUGCAGGUCACAAGUGUAAAACAAAUUUAAAAUGUCAAAUGUAAAACUCGAAAAAAACGAGAUGUGACGCGUGAGACGCAUCUUACUCGUCACAACUUUUAUGCCCGGCACUCAGUCAGUGUACCUGUACCAGAAUUUUUUUUUUUUCGAAUUUUUCAUUUGACAUUUUACAUUUUUUCUUCACCUGUCAUCUACAUCUGCAUAACUUCUCACGCCAACACGCUAUUUUCACUAGAGCAGCACACUUCAGAUCCACGUCAGAGGCAGAGCCGCGGCAGAGGCAGCGGUCAGCGGCAACUGCAAAAGCAGAGAGUGAAUGAGAGAAUGUGAAAAAAAAACAACAAAAGCUGCGGGACAGGGUGGAUUUAGCCACUGCAAAUUAAUUUCUUCAUUGCGGCUAUAAUAAUGAUCCAAUUUGGUGAUCUGAUAGAUAUGGUCAUUCCCUACAGAAUGGCGUUUUUAGAUUUUAUUUAUCUUCAAAUUUGUAGAUUUAGUUUUCGCCCUUUUGCGUGGGCGGAAAGGGGCGGGGCUAAUUCUUUAAAUACACUGGUUUCAGUGUGAGCAUACGGCAGUCUGGAGCUAAAAUUUGGUGGCUCCAGCUCUUAUAGUCUCUGAGAACUAGCCGACAAACAAGACGGACAGACGAACAGACAGACAUGGCUCUAUCGACUCGUCUAUUGAUGCUGAUCAAGAAUAUAUAUACUUUAUGGGGUCGGAAACGUUUCCUUCUGUGCGUUAAAUACAAC